UUAUCCGACUAGCUCAGCUGGUGUAAUACUUUUGAUGCGUAUUUACAAUUUUUCAGCCUCAGCCGGGCUUACAUUGCAGUAAGGAAGGAUGAAGCCUGAGAAUCAGCCUGAAGAUGAAGAAAGCUUCUGGGAAUAUGUCAACAAAUCUUCCUCUGUUUCCUGGAGCACUUGAUGUGUUUGUAUGCACAUUCUUCUUGGAAGGCCGGGGACAUUUUGUUUGGUGAUUGAGAAGUGAUGUGGAUGGGCGCCAUGCUUGAAGCCUGUUUUCAUAGCUCCUAUCAACACGAGAGCUGAGGUACAUAGCAAUAGGAAGAAUUUACAAAGAAGUUACCCUGGAUGUGAAGAAUCCAUCUUAGAUGAAAGAAACAAGAGAGACCUCAGCAAGAUUUCCAGAGCAUGCUAUUAUAUGUCUGUACAGCCAUGUGAAAGGAGAAGCCUGUAAUCCUUUGGAAUUCUACCAGUUCUUAAUUUCUGUCUUAUU